rnacentral:rRNA from 1 species
AUACGGAGGGUGCAAGCGUUAAUCGGAAUUACUGGGCGUAAAGCGCGCGUAGGCGGUUUGGUAAGUCGGAUGUGAAAGCCCCGGGCUCAACCUGGGAAUUGCAUUCGAUACUGUCAGGCUAGAGUAUGGUAGAGGGAAGCGGAAUUCCAGGUGUAGCGGUGAAAUGCGUAGAUAUCUGGAGGAACAUCAGUGGCGAAGGCGGCUUCCUGGAUCAAUACUGACGCUGAGGUGCGAAAGCGUGGGGAGCAAACAGGAUUAGAUACCCCAGUAGUCC